rnacentral:rRNA from 1 species
GAUGAACGCUGGCGGCGUGCCUAAUACAUGCAAGUCGAGCGAACAGACGAGGAGCUUGCUCCUCUGACGUUAGCGGCGGACGGGUGAGUAACACGUGGAUAACCUACCUAUAAGACUGGGAUAACUUCGGGAAACCGGAGCUAAUACCGGAUAAUAUAUUGAACCGCAUGGUUCAAUAGUGAAAGACGGUUUUGCUGUCACUUAUAGAUGGAUCCGCGCCGCAUUAGCUAGUUGGUAAGGUAACGGCUUACCAAGGCAACGAUGCGUAGCCGACCUGAGAGGGUGAUCGGCCACACUGGAACUGAGACACGGUCCAGACUCCUACGGGAGGCAGCAGUAGGGAAUAUGCCGCAAUGGGCGAAAGCAUGACGGAGCAACGCCGCGUGAGUGAUGAAGGUCUUCGGAUCGUAAAACUCUGUUAUUAGGGAAGAACAAAUGUGUAAGUAACUAUGCACGUCUUGACGGUACCUAAUCAGAAAGCCACGGCUAACUACGUG